AGAAAAAAAAAGAAAAGAAAAGAAAAAGAAAAAAAGAACAGAACAAAAGAACAGACCAGACAGACGGGGCUGCUGCUUCUUUCUUUCUUUCUUUCUUUCCCCCCCGAAGUUUCUCGACCUUGAUUUCCACGCUGC
rnacentral:ribozyme from 1 species